AAACCCCCUCGCCGAAAGACUAAGGUUUCCUGAUCAACGCUAAUCGGAUCAGGGUUAGUCGGGUCCUAAGGCUCAGCCGAACGGUGAGGCCGAUGGCAGAACAGGUUAAUAUUCCUGUACUACCUUAAGGAGUGACGUGGAGACGGAGGCGUGACAGCGCCGCGGACUGACGGAAUAGUCCGUUGAAGGGUGUAGAUGUUGAUUAUCCCAGGCAAAUCCGGGAUAAGAGUCGAACCUGAUAGUAUACCAAUUUCCUCGGAAAACGGUAAUAGUGCGUGUAAACAUACUCCCAAGAAAAUCCGCUAAACUUAAUCUUAUAGGUACCCGUACCGUAAACGGACACACGUAGUCGGGUUGAAUAUACUCAGGCGCUUGAGUGAAUCACGGUUAAGGAACUAGGCAAAUUGACCCUGUAACUUCGGGAUAAAGGGUCCCUACCCGGUGACGGGAGGGCGCAGAGAAUAGGUCCAGGCAACUGUUUAACAAAAACACAGGGCUGUGCAAAAUUGAAAGAUCACGUAUACAGCCUGACACCUGCCCGGUGCUGGAAGGUUAAGAGGAGAUGUCAUCGCAAGAGAAGCAUUGAAUUGAAGCCCCAGUAAACGGCGGCCGUAACUAUAACGGUCCUAAGGUAGCGAAAUUCCUUGUCGGGUAAGUUCCGACCUGCACGAAUGGUGUAAUGAUCUGGACGCUGUCUCAACCGUGAGCUCAGUGAAAUUGUAGUAUCGGUGAAGAUGCCGAUUACCCGCGAUGGGACGAAAAGACCCCGUGAACCUUUACUAUAGCUUAACAUUGAAUUUGGGUAAUUGAUGUGUAGGAUAGGCCGGAGACUUUGAAGCAGGUACGCCAGUAUUUGUGGAGUCGCUGUUGAAAUACGGCCCUUUGAUUAUUUGAGUUCUAACUCGUAGUUACGAGGACACUGUUUGGUGGGUAGUUUGACUGGGGUGGUCGCCUCCAAAAUAGUAACGGAGGCUUCUAAAGGUGCCCUCAGGACGAUUGGUAACCGUCCGCAGAGUGUAAUGGCAUAAGGGCGCUUGACUGGGAGACUUACAAGUCGAUCAGGUAGGAAACUAGAGCAUAGUGAUCCGGUGUUUCCGUAUGGAAGGGACAUCGCUCAAAGGAUAAAAGGUACUCCGGGGAUAACAGGCUGAUCCCUCCCA
rnacentral:rRNA from 1 species